rnacentral:piRNA from 1 species
UGCAGGUCAAGGGUCACAGUUAGGCCAGGG